AAAAAGGGCGUUUGCCUGCUAAAUGGCACGCAGUAUCGCUAGCAAGAGAUUCUGGACGCAUAAUUUUUGGGAACGGCGGCUGCUGAUUGCCAUUGCAUUUGGCGCCUCU